GAUGAACGCUGACAGAAUGCUUAACACAUGCAAGUCUACUUGAUUCUACUUCGGUAGUUGAUGGUGGCGGACGGGUGAGUAACGCGUAAAGAAUCUGCCCUUUAGUUCGGGAUAACCUUUGGAAACGAAGGAUAAUACCGGAUAUUAUGGAGACGUCGCAUGACGAUUUCAUGAAAGCUAUAUGCGCUAGAGGAGGACUUUGCGUCCCAUUAGUUAGUUGGUGAGGUAAUGGCUCACCAAGACCGCGAUGGGUAGCCGGCCUGAGAGGGUGAUCGGCCACAAGGGAACUGAGACACGGUCCUUACUCCUACGGGAGGCAGCAGUGGGGAAUAUUGGACAAUGGGCCACAAGCCUGAUCCAGCAAUUCUGUGUGCACGAUGAAGGUCUUCGGAUUGUAAAGUGCUUUCAGUAGGGAAGAAAAAAAUGACGGUACCUACAGAAGAAGCGACGGCUAAAUAUGUGCCAGCCGCCGCCGUAAGAC
rnacentral:rRNA from 1 species